rnacentral:rRNA from 1 species
GACAGAGGGUGCAAACGUUGCUCGGAAUCAUUGGGCGUAAAGCGCGUGUAGGCGGCAUGGCACGUCGGGUGUGAAAGCCCGGGGCUCAACCCCGGCAGUGCACCCGAAACGACGAUGCUAGAGUGCUGGAGAGGCGGGUGGAAUUCCCGGUGUAGAGGUGAAAUUCGUAGAUAUCGGGAGGAACACCGGUGGCGAAGGCGACCCGCUGGCCAGCAACUGACGCUGAGACGCGAAAGCGUGGGGAGCAAACAGG